GUGAACGCUGGCGGUAGGCCUAGCACAUGUAAGUCGAACGGCAGCACAGUAAGAGCUUGCUCUUACGGGUGGCGAGUGGCGGACGGGUGAGGAAUACAUCGGAAUCUACUUUUUCGUGGGGGAUAACGUAGGGAAACUUACGCUAAUACCGCAUACGACCUACGGGUGAAAGCAGGGGAUCUUCGGACCUUGCGCGAUUGAAUGAGCCGAUGUCGGAUUAGCUAGUUGGCGGGGUAAAGGCCCACCAAGGCGACGAUCCGUAGCUGGUCUGAGAGGAUGAACAGCCACACUGGAACUGAGACACAGUCCAGACUCCUACGGGAGGCAGCAGUGGGGAAUAUUGGACAAUGGGCGCAAGCCUGAUCCAGCCAUACCGCGUGGGUGAAGAAGGCCUUCGGGUUGUAAAGCCCUUUUGUUGGGAAAGAAAAGCAGCAGGUUAAUACCCCGCUGUUCUGACGGUACCCAAAGAAUAAGCACCGGCUAACUUCGUG
rnacentral:rRNA from 1 species